UUUGAUCCUGGCUCAGGACGAACGCUGGCGGCGCGCCUAACACAUGCAAGUCGAACGAGCGAGAGAGAGCUUGCUUUCUCGAGCGAGUGGCGAACGGGGUGAGUAACGCGUGAGGAAACUGCCUCAAAGAGGGGGACAACAGUUGGAAACGACUGCUAAUACCGCAUAAGCCCACGGUGCCGCAUGGCACAGAGGGAAAAGGAGUAAUCCGCUUUGAGAUGGCCUCGCGUCCGAUUAGCUAGUUGGUGAGGUAACGGCCCACCAAGGCGACGAUCGGUAGCCGGACUGAGAGGUUGAACGGCCACAUUGGGACUGAGACACGGCCCAGACUCCUACGGGAGGCAGCAGUGGGGAAUAUUGCACAAUGGGGGAAACCCUGAUGCAGCGACGCCGCGUGGAGGAAGAAGGUCUUCGGAUUGUAAACUCCUGUUGUUGGGGAAGAUAAUGACGGUACCCAACAAGGAAGUGACGGCUAACUACGUGCCAGCAGCCGCGGUAAAACGUAGGUCACAAGCGUUGUCCGGAAUUACUGGGUGUAAAGGGAGCGCAGGCGGGAAGACAAGUUGGAAGUGAAAUCUAUGGGCUCAACCCAUAAACUGCUUUCAAAACUGUUUUUCUUGAGUAGUGCAGAGGUAGGCGGAAUUCCCGGUGUAGCGGUGGAAUGCGUAGAUAUCGGGAGGAACACCAGUGGCGAAGGCGGCCUACUGGGCACCAACUGACGCUGAGGCUCGAAAGUGUGGGUAGCAAACAGGAUUAGAUACCCUGGUAGUCCACACCGUAAACGAUGAUUACUAGGUGUUGGAGGAUUGACCCCUUCAGUGCCGCAGUAACACAAUAAGUAAUCCACCUGGGA
rnacentral:rRNA from 1 species